rnacentral:rRNA from 1 species
UACGAAGGGGGGCUAGCGUUGUUCGGAAUUACUGGGCGUAAAGCGCACGUAGGCGGACUUUUAAGUCAGGGGUGAAAUCCCGGGGCUCAACCUCGGAACUGCCUUUGAUACUGGAAGUCUUGAGUAUGGAAGAGGUAAGUGGAAUUGCGAGUGUAGAGGUGAAAUUCGUAGAUAUUCGCAGGAACACCAGUGGCGAAGGCGGCUUACUGGUCCAUUACUGACGCUGAGGUGCGAAAGCGUGGGGGAGCAAACAGG